rnacentral:lncRNA from 1 species
GAAAAGAUCUUAUAUGGAAGGCCUUAUCUGAAAAGCGUCGAUUUUGAUCAGAAGGGAUAACAAGGACAUGCCUAAUCCUAUGAGUUCAGAUUCAUUUUUUUUCAAAAAAAAAGAAAAGAAAAGAAAAAGAAAAAUAAAAGCAAAAGGAGAGGCCAAAGUGAAAAUUCGCAAAGGACGCCUUGAGACCAAAGAGGAUUUGAAUUGAAAACUCGAAAAGGACGGCUCAAACAUUGAUCAAAAUGGGGCAUGAGG